AGUGUGUUAAUUUGGAUAUUUUUAAUUUUGUAUUAUACUUUGAUAUUGUGAUACUAUAUAUUUGAUGAGUGUAAUAUUUUUAAUUCUAAGUAUUUAGUGAGUUAGUUUCUAGUCAUGCUCCACUGGUUAUGUUCAUUGUAUGAUUUUUACAUGGCUCAGUGAGUUUUGAUAUAUUGGUUAUUUGUUUACUCUCUGGGUUUUACUAGUUUGUAUUGUGAAACUUUUUCUUCUUUGUGAUAAUUGGCUAAUUUAGUCAUAUGGUCAUUUUGGAGGGAAAUUCUAUUGUUAGGUCAGAAUUUACUCAUACUUUGAAUUGUAUAGUUGUGUGUUGUUUGCUUUGAUAUAUUUAUAUUUGUGGACAUCUUUGAUUCCAUUAUCAGAUAUUUGAACCAUACUGUUCGUAUAUCAUGUAGAAGAUUCCAUAUUGUAAAUACAGGACCUAUGUACCUCAUACAUGGUAGGUUGUGUAUUCUGUUUAUAUGUGUGUUUUUGUGCUUAACAUUUGUCUUGAGCAUGGCUAUAAUAUUUGUUUUAAUAAGCUUAUUGUGUUAUGUUACUGUACGCUUUGCUUUAUGUGUACUAAUUCAAUGUUGUUAGUAAUUUGAAUGGAAUGACCCAUAAAUGACUAUCAGAAGAAUAUUUGGUAGAAUACCAAUAUGUUAAAUGUUAAGAUGUGUAAUUUAUGAUGAGAACAAUAUUUCUCAUGAUUAACAUUCUAUGUAAAUAGAUUUGUAAGUAAAUAACAUGGAAAACCAUAGUUGUCCAGUAGGAAGUAUUUGAGUAUUGUAUUUUAGGUAUUGUCACCUAGAAUGAAUAGAGUUAUCUUUCUUUGUAUUUAUUAUUUGUAUUUGUAUUGCAGGGUCAUUUCUUAUAUUACACAAUAAAACGAAUCCAUUGAU